GACAGAGGCCUCGAGCGUUAGGCGGAAUCACUGGGCUUAAAGCGUGUGUAGGCGGGCCCGUAAGUGUCUUGUGGAAUCCCACGGCUCAACCGUGGAACUGCUGGGCAUACUGCGGGUCUUGGGCCAACUAGGGGCAGCCGGAACAAGCGGUGGAGCGGUGAAAUGCGUAGAUAUCGCUUGGAACGCCGAAGGUGAAAACAGGCUGCUGGGGUUGCGCCGACGCUGAGACACGAAAGCCAGGGGAGCAAACGGG
rnacentral:rRNA from 1 species